rnacentral:rRNA from 1 species
GUGCCAGCAGCCGCGGUAAUACAGAGGGUGCAAGCGUUGUUCGGAAUUACUGGGCGUAAAGCGCGUGUAGGCGGCGAUCUAAGUCGGAUGUGAAAGCCCUCGGCUUAACCGAGGAAGUGCAUUCGAUACUGGGUUGCUUGAGUACCGGAGGGGAUGGCGGAAUUCCUGGUGUAGAGGUGAAAUUCGUAGAUAUCAGGAGGAACACCUGUGGCGAAGGCGGCCAUCUGGACGGUAACUGACGCUGAGACGCGAAAGCGUGGGUAGCAAACAGGAUUAGAAACCCGGGUAGUCC